GCAGAACAGGAGAAACAGGUUCUGGGGAGAACCCUCUUCCUCAACAUUCCUUCAACAGUCAAGGAGAAUUUGCUGAGUGCAUACUACAUGCAGAGCACUGAGCAAGAGCUAGGAUUAAAGAGGGGAAUAAGUUGGACACCGUGCUUCCUACGUGGAGCAUGUGACCAUGGGAAGGGCAGGCAGAGAUAAAUGAAAAUGACCCAGAUGAAUGUAUAAUUGCUAGCUAUAACAAAGUGUAUGGAGAAGAGGUGCCUGGCACAGUGAGAGUGAAUAAUUAGCAGUUAGCUCGAGGCGGUCAAGGAAGGCUUGCUUCUCUGUGGAAGGCACAUUUCCCUGCGAUCUGAAGGGUACCAGAGGCCACAGGACGCUCCCCCCAGGUCUCUGACCCCAUGUAGCUCUCCGUAGAGCCUUGAAAGAGAGUCUGGGCACCCUGGGACUGGUUGAGUGCCCUUGGGGCUCCCUCAGGUCGGCUUCCUCUAGAGAGCAUCAAGAGCUCUCAUCUAAAGGCGCCCGGGAGACGUUGGGAGUCUUGGGGCUGAGGCGACACCCACCUGAGAUUACGCCAUCUGAGCGGUGCCCAUCUGAGGUCUGCCCGUCCUCCUAGAGCGCCACCUGGAGGACAAAGGUUUUCUUCCCCGGAGGAGAAAUCAAUGCAGGGCAAAGAAGAGGACAUUAGUGGGGGCACUUGGCUUCUCCCCAGGACAUUAACCUUCACUGGCCAUCCCUGAUAUUCCACUCCUUGCUGUGUGUCCCAGGAGCCCGGGUGACACCUCUCACAUGGCCUGCUUUAUAGUGCUUUGACUGCCUGUCUCCCGAACCAGCCACCUGGCUCUUUGAGGGACUGUGUUUUCUUCGGUUCUUGUUCUGCGCCUAGCACCUGGCACUGACAUGAUAAGCAUUCGGUAAGUCUUUAUUAAUGGAAUGAAUACAUGGACCUUCUUAAUUUUCACUCAGCUUUUAGUCACAAACAUUUGGAGGCUGCAUCACGUUGCUUAGAAGUAGAUGAGUAGGGACUAAGUGAAGAGUAUUGUUCACGCUGCCUUGCACAUAGUAGGUGUGCAAUUGUGACUUAUCGAAUGCGUGGUUAUCAGUGUCUCCAUGUCAAUGUUCUGGCGCAUAUACAGAGCACAAUUUGUUUCUUAAUGGCAUUGAUUCUGUAACAAAGCAGAACUCCGAAGUAGAAGUCACACAUUCUUAAAUUCGUUUUCAGUGAGGCGGAAUCUUCCAAUUACCAUUCUCUAUACAUAAGAGUAUAUACCUCUGCCUUUCAAUUUAAGACAGGACACAUUUUUUUUUUUUGUUAUAUUCCUGACCCUUGUAGGUCAGGACAACUGGUUCCCCUAAUGUGUGUGCGUGAGUGUGUACGUGUGUGUGUGUGUGUGUGUUUGUGUGUUCAGGAAACAAAGGCUGAAAGUCCUUCAGCAAAGGCAGCCGAGGUUCCUGGAUCUCCUUCUUGCAUAAUGAGUCCUGCCAGUUAGGGCUGCUCGAGGGUGGGAGGGGGUGGCAGCUUGCCAGUUUGGUCUGUGGCACUUGGAUAAACAGACAUCAAUAUUUAUCAGAGCUGUUCUGAUGUGCUUCUGCGGCUGCCAGAACAAGGAGCUCUCCUCGUGCUUGUGUAUAGUUUUCCCUGUAUGAGAUAAAAGUUUGGGGCCAUUAAGGAAAAAAAAAUGUUUGUACUCUGCUCCCCAGUUACCUAGGCUAAUUUACCGCACUAGGAGGCCCUGUAGUUCAUUAAUAAUAUACAAAUACAAACCAAGGGAAGAAAUUGCCAUGUUAAUUGACUUCUGUGAUGCUAAUCUAAGACUCCUUGGCUUUAAACAUUACUCAACAACUGCACUCAUACCACACACUUUGGAGAAAGCAGAAAGCUACCCAAAGCAAAUGCUUGAAAUCAUGGCCUCUGGGCUUUAUAAACAGACACUCAACUCCAUUGGCUCUCUUUGGGAGUCUGGAGGUGGAAAACACAAGGAAAAGAGGCAAAGAGAUGAGGAGAGACUCCACCAUCCUAGAAUACAGCCCAGACAGGUUGCAAGUGAAGGCCAGGAUACUCUGGGCAGUGUUGGGUUGUGCUGGGCUACUUAGGGUGUUGCCAGACUCUCCACCAGACCAGAUGGCUGCAAAGCUUGAUUAGAAACAGUAUUAUUAGGCUCAGCUGACUGGUCCAAUUAGGAGCAAAGUUCAUCAGUGUCUUAAGCAACCAAUCUCCCCCAUUAAUUUCCUAGGCUAAGCUUCUGUCUCUUAUCCUCUCUGAUCAUUGCUUAUGGAGAAGACACAGAGCUUUUGUUAGUUCAUGAAUGAGGUACUGGGAGGUAGGAGAGCUGAAUGAUGACGUUUCCCAGGCCAGCCUUGAUAGUCAAAUGGAUCUGGAUUUGAAUCCUAUCCAUUCUCCCACCAAUCGCCCAUCCCUACAAGUCUGGGAGCUAGAGAGUUUCAAGUUCAUGAAGGUGACCUGAGGGAUGAGCAACUUUCUCAUCCCCUUUGAGUCUACUGGGGCCACCUGGAUGACAAAUCUGGUCCCUCCUUCUAGAAGCCACUCACCCACAGCAUGAAGAGCCAUGUAGAUUUUACUGCAGAUUUCACAGGGUAGACAAAGGGGUGCCUUUAAAUCGCACAUCCCACAGCAUACAGCCUUAUCCCCCUGCUUGAUUUCUCUAUUCUCCCCAAGGUCCUCCUUGAUUGCUUAAACUCUGGAAUAUUUUCUCUCUGACCUGGGCCUUUGGAGUCUCAAAAUUCCUCUAGUUCUUGCCUCUUUUGAUUAAAAGAAUAAAAGAAAGAAAAUCAGAACUGGUGUGUGAAGCCUGAGAUUCAUUUUUCUAUUCUGUAAAAUGGGGAUAAUUCUUACCUCAUAAGGUAGGAGGGAGAGUUAAGUAACUGUGAAUGCUAAGACAAUGUUGUUCUAACAUGACCUAAUGAAAUUGAUUUAGUGGGUUGCCAUCAGCACUAAAAAACUGAAUAAGGUGACACUAUAAAACUCCUAGAAACACAGACAAAACAUUCUCUGACAUAAAUUGUAUCGAUGUCUUCUUAGGUCAGUUUCUCGAGUCAGUAGAAAUAAAAGCAAAAAUAAACAAAUGGGAAAUUUGUAAGCUUUUGCACAGCAAAGGAAGCCAUAAACAAAAUAAAAAGAUGAUCUAUGGAAUGGGAGAAAAUAUUUGCAAAU
rnacentral:lncRNA from 1 species